UUACCGCGGCUGCUGGCACGGAGUUAGCCGGUGCUUCCUUCGGUGGUACCGUCUACGUACAUACUUAAUAUGUACGUCUUCUUCCCACCUGACAGUGCUUUACGACCCGAAGGCCUUCGUCACACACGCGGCAUCGCUGCGUCAGGCUUGCACCCAUUGCGCAAGAUUCCCCACUGCUGCCUCCCGUAGGAGUCUGGGCCGUGUCUCAGUCCCAGUGUGGCUGAUCAUCCUCUCAGACCAGCUACUCAUCUUCGGCCUGGUAAGCCGUUACCUCACCAGCUACCUAAUGAGCCGCGAGCCAAUCUUCGAGCGACCCGAAGGCCUUUGACCCCUGGACCCUAAGGUCCUGUGGUCUCAUGCGGUAUUAACCACCCUUUCGGAUGGCUGUCCCCCGCUCGAAGGCAUGUUACUCACGUGUUACUCACCCGUCCGCCGCUGUACUCAAGACCCGAAGGUCUUUUUCUCGCUCGGCUUGCAUGUGUUAGGCGUGCCGCCAGCGUUCGUUCUGAGCCAUGAUCAAACUC
rnacentral:rRNA from 1 species